CGGCCCUUCGGGGCGGCGCGCGGGCAACGGCGGCACGCGGGCAACGGCGGGCCAGGGGCGGCGGGCAACGGCCGCGCGCGGUUUCCUGUCGUGUGCUUUCUUCUUCCUAACAUGCCGAGGCACCGUACCGAUUUCAGCCUUGGUUUCGCUACGCGGAGCACACCGUGGGUGUUUAAUCAGGAAGGGGCUGAUGGCAGAGUGCUUUUUAAAGUUCCUGGGAUUCUGCAAAAUUAAGACCAAACUAAUUCUGAUUCAGGUUUGAGUCAUGUGUUUGUCAACCCAGCAAGUGGCUUCAUGCUGGGAACUAGGUAGGGGGGGAAAAUUGACACGUAGGUAUCUGCCAACUUUUGUAAAUUCCAAGGAAUUGAAGAGAAGUUUCUGGUUUUUUUCAAACUGUUCAACUUGAUCUUGGAAAGUCAGCACUGCUAGCCACAGGAAACCACGUGAUUCCUAUGUCUGAGACAUUCAGAAAAGUACCACGUACUCAGCAAGUUUGGAAAGACUCAUUUAUCCACUCCCUUGCAGUCCACAGGCACUGAGACUGUUGCAAAGAUGCCAAGGGAAAAUGGUACUUUUUCCAAAGCCUGGACAGGUUUUUUGUCUUUCCUUAUCCUGAAUGCUGUGUAAAGGGAUGCAGGCUAAGGAAGGAGGCAACUCUUCAUCGCUUCCAUUGAGUAAUAUCUAUAAAAUGAAGCAGGAGGCCCCCUCCUUCCCUCUGGCAGGAUGAUACCAUCUGUGAUGCAGCUGAGGAGCCACGUUACAGCACUGUUGCUUUUACCCAUUACCACCUGUAGGAGCCUUUUCUCAAUUGCCGCUGAUGCUUUAGGAUUUAAAGGAGGAAGAUGCACUCGACCUCUGCUUGAAUUGAAUCUCCUCCAAGUAUGCUUUUCCUGGUGAGAUGAGCAGCCCGGUGGCAUUCUUACGAGAUUAGGUUUGCAUUCUACCAUAUACAGGACUUAAAAAUGCAAUUGCUAAUGCAGGCAGCUGUCCCAGCACUCACGGUGGGGACUUUUCAAAAACAAACACGAGGGAAGCCAAAAUGCCAGGUUUUGCAUCUGCUCUUUGAUCUUAGCAUUAGGCGUGACUUCCUCCUAGUUAUGUUUCCUGACAAGUCACAUGUGUUGUCUUUAUCCAGGCCAAGCAGCUGUACAACAUAAUAUGUUAUGGCCAGGAGGCUCUGCAUUGAACCCAUUGACAUCCUCCUUCCUGUGCUCCUCCUCAGAGCCAAGGGCACGUUCACGCUUCCACCUCAGUAACCGCUGUGCUGUUCCUUACCUCAGCACUGAACCUGAAGAACUGGGGAGGAGUCACGGGGAACAAGGCAGGCUGGGUGAGGUAGCUUCGAGGGCAUGAAACACCAUGUGGGGAAAGGGUGGGAGGCUCUCGAAGGCUACUCAUCAUCAAUGGAAACUGAAAGAAGCAGCUGCCAGCACGCUGGGCUCCUGAGGCGGGACUUUUUUGUAAGAGAUCUUCUUCAGGUGUUACUUCUUACGCGCACAUAGCUAAUCUGUGCAGGGAGUGUGAUCCUGCUCAUCUCCACAGGCCCUCCAUCCAGGGCUGGUGCAGCUCAUUGCCAAAGUGAGCAAUACAGAAACGCCUCCUAGGAGACUGGUGGUUCUGUCCAUAGUUUAUAAAAUAGCAGAACCUCUGGGUCCCUAAUUGAGGUCAGGGGCUAACAAGUUUGCAGUGUAAUUAAAAGCUGUGAUGAAGUGUUGUAAGGCUGGCUUCCUGAGCUAUGGAUGGGAGCUGACCUCCUGUGUCUCCAAGUCCAGCGGUCAAUUUCCAUAUAUUCGUUUCUCUUCUGGCAUCACAGAAAUCCUUGUGGACUGGCCUUUUGACACCAGAGAGAUCCCUCCUGGCUAACCACAGCUUUCUCCCACUACUCUCUGAAAGCAAGAGACCACAAGGACAGGAAGAGGUGUAUGGUUUGAAACGGCCUCCAAGAAGUGCCGACCUACUGAGCUACACGGAUGAAACGAAGUCGUGAGCUGUGUCGCUCCUGAGCGCAGCCUGCUAUCUCCAGCCUCCAGGCCCUGGGGCCCACCCCCCAGCGCCAGCCACGUUACAAACACGAGGGUUUAUCCUUUGUUUUGAAAAUGGUUGGGUGCAGGAAAAGAAGACUCGUUCGGGAUUUCCCCUGCCUGGGAUUUCCCACAACUUCCUGUGUUUUCUGCUUUUGAAAAAAAAAAAAAAAAAAAGGCACGAAGUCUUAUGAUUUCUGUUUACUCAGUGACAGCAUUGCUGCUGUCUGGGUGUCAUUCCUUCAGGCAUCAAGCUCCUGAUGUUUACUGAACCCAGCACCCACCACUUGGGGUGAACACUGACCCUUUUCACACGGGAGAUACCCAGAUGCCUUGUCUUGACACAUGAGCUGGUGAGCUUGAACCUCUGAAUCCUUCCAGUCAGUUCAAGGGGCACAGCUCUGGAGCGCCACAUCCCUUAAGCUGGCAGAGUGCAGAUGAGACAGGGCAUGGAGUGGUGGGGGUUUAAAACAACACAAAAAGUCAGCACAGAAACAGAAAUGUCAUUCAUUCCUUAUUUUACUGAAUGCUGCUAUACCACUGUCAGGUGUUCACGCUAGGACUGCAGGCUAAGAAAGUGAGCUACAGCUACAGAAAUGAAGUCUUAGUUCCUACAAUUCAAUUUACAUUACUUUCAGCCCUUCUGGGCCAUUACUUGUAAUUUCUCUUCACAGAGAAGCUGAAGAAACAAUGUAAAAUGUGGAGAGAGGAACCAUGUAUUUGUGUUGUAUCAAGAUCGAUUUGUUUGUAUCUCAGGUAAGAUGGGCUCUGAGUGUU